UUAGUGCUAGCCUCUCGGGCCGCACAAGUCUCCCACGGCGCGGCGGUGCCCGCUCCCCCUCGCCUCUCCGGCCAUGCCGAUCUCCUCCCUCAGCACGAGGCGGGCGCAUGCAGGGCGGCCGCUAGCGAACGAGGCCGCGAUCGAUCGAUCCAGUGGCGCUGCGGCGCCUGCAUCCCUCGGCUCUCCGGUCACACUGGUCUACUCCCUAAGCACGAAGUGGGUGCAUGCAGGGCAGCCGCCGGCGAAUGAGCCUGCGGCGCGGAGCCCUCUGCUCCGUGCCAGUUUGAGAUCCGCACCGAUCUCCUCCCUGCUGGCCGUUCUGCCCUCCAUCGCCCCUAUCUCCUCAUCAACUUGCAGAUGUUGCUGUCGCACUCACCAUAGGGAAGAUCGCCGAGUACUUAGUCGAAAUCUGCUGCAAACGACCACCGUCCUGUGCCAAGAAGUGGAAGUAUUUCAUCCCUCAUAUGUGCUUCCUUCUUCACAUGUGAUGCAAGUAUCACGUGCUUCCUGACUCGCUUUCUUCUACAACAAAGAGUACAUGUGGAUCAAUUACUUCAUGUCUGCUAACAAAAUCACAUAUCAUAUCUGACAGUUGGUUAUUUUUCUCCUUUGAAAUUGAUGAACUGAGAGAUAAUGCCACGGAAUAACAUAAGUAUUUCUGUUUUAAGUGUGUAUACUAUCCUGAUAAAAUCCUCAGAACACAAAAGUGUAUGCAUUCUUGGUUCCAUGCACCAUUUUGUUUCCAUAUUUGAGAGAUUGGUUUUGAGCAUGUGAAUCUGAGCUUCACAUACUUUGCCUAAGAAACUUCAGUUAUUGAUAAGACGACAAAGGAUGAAAAAUAUGGAGCGACGUCUGAAGCAUUUCAGUGUUGGAAAACUGUGAUGUGAUGCCAGUACUACGAAGCAAUUCUGCAUCUCUUGCAUAUGACAAUUCUUUUUGUGUAUAGAGAUGCAUGACAUGGAUGCAGUGCAGAUGUCUUGAUGGCAAACAGGGACCAUUUAAUGGGAGCCUACAAAGUUGUACAGGCAACAACUCCAAGGAAUCAAUACGGUGUGGUGUUUUCAGUAUUCCUAAAAUGAAUGAAGUAAUGGUGUGAUUAACGCUACCAUUGAUUUGUCAGUCUGCUAUUGAGAAAAUUAUCAUACUCUAUUAAGCUGGAUUCCUUUUUUUAGCAGAAGCUCACAUCAGCAUCUUAUGAAUUUUGGAUGCCCCGAACAGUAAGAGAUGAAGAACUACUACAAGGAAAAUAUAUACAUCUACAUGUCAGUGAAACUUAGGAGAGAGGAAUGGCAUUGCCGAAUGGGCAAGGCAAACAUCCACACCUGGAAGAAAAGGUAUUUCAAACUCAGCUGAAAAUAUAGAAUUGUGGUACUGUAAACUGUAAGCAUGAUCUCUGUUUUCAAUUGAAUAAUAAUGCCAUGAUUUCUUUUCAAAGAUCUCUGUCCAAGAGCACAGGUUUCAGCCACUGAGAUAAGAUCCCAACAAAGAAACAGCGGAAUUCAGCAGGCGCACAUGGAUAUCAUCUGAUGAGUAGAUUUCUGUGGAACCGAUACUCCCACUUUUUCUGAAAACAGAACAUAACAUAACUUAUACUACGAAUGGAAUGAAACCUUAACACUCAACCAUCCCCUGGUUACUUGCGGUUUGAGGACGAGAUAUGUGCCCCAUCCCUGGUUACUUGCUUGCACAAUUAACCACGGCGGAUUCGGUACAUUUGUUAACCCAUUUGUAGGAAGAGAUGGAGCUGCCCCUGGUGGUGUGAGAGAGACAAUGCCCUCCGGUUCUAAUUUUAUAAAGAAGAUUCAGGUAUGACUUCACGCCGCCGCUGCUGCUGCAUCCGCAACCUCAGGCCGUGAAGAGGACACAAAAAAGGGCUGGUGCAACUGUCUCCAGCCUACUUUCAGGUAUUGACAUAGGUUGAGACGAGGAUUUGCUUUCAAAUGCACCAAGUAAAACAUGUGUGCUGGGCCAGAGAUUUUAUUCAUGAUGAUUUGUGUUGAAUAAUGGCUGGAUGCCAAAUGAAGCUAUGUGUGCUAUGUGUCUCUGUGCAUUCCAAGAGAAGGGUUUGUCUCCUUGGGACACUUACGUACUCUUCCAAUGUACUCCCUCCGUUCGAAAUUACUUGUCACAAAAAUGGAUGUAUCUACAACUAAAAUACAUCUAGAUACAUUCAUUUCUUGAACGGUUAAUUCCGAACGGAGGGAGUAACUUGG